rnacentral:rRNA from 1 species
GACGGAGGGUGCAAGCGUUGUUCGGAUUGACUGGGCGUAAAGGGCGUGUAGGCGGUUGGUCAAGUCUGGUGUGGAAGCCCGGGGCUUAACCCCGAAAGUGCAUUGGAAACUAGCCAGCUAGAGCGCGAGAGAGGAGGGUGGAAUUCCUGGUGUAGCGGUGAAAUGCGCAGAUAUCAGGAGGAACACCAAUUGCGAAGGCAGCUCGCUGGGACGUAACUGACGCUGAGACGCGAAAGCGUGGGAGCAAACAGG